rnacentral:rRNA from 1 species
AACGAACGCUGGCGGCAUGCCUAACACAUGCAAGUCGAACGAGACCUUCGGGUCUAGGGGCGCACGGGUGCGUAACGCGUGGGAACCUGCCCUUAGGUUCGGAAUAACUCCCCGAAAGGGGUGCUAAUACCGGAUAAUGUCUUCGGACCAAAGAUUUAUCGCCUUUGGAUGGGCCCGCGUUGGAUUAGCUAGUUGGUAGGGUAAAAGCCUGCCAAGGCGACGAUCCAUAGCUGGUCUGAGAGGAUGAUCAGCCACACUGGGACUGAGACACGGCCCAGACUCCUACGGGAGGCAGCAGUGGGGAAUAUUGGACAAUGGGCGAAGGCCUGAUCCAGCAAUGCCGCGUGAGUGAUGAAGGCCUUAGGGUUGUAAAGCUCUUUUACCCGGGAUGAUAAUGACAGUACCGGGAGAAUAAGCACCGGCUAACUCCGUG